GACGAACGCUGGCGGCGUGCUUAACACAUGCAAGUCGAACGGUAAGGCCCUUCGGGGUACACGAGUGGCGAACGGGUGAGUAACACGUGGGUGAUCUGCCCUGCACUUCGGGAUAAGCCUGGGAAACUGGGUCUAAUACCGGAUAGGACUCCGGACUGCAUGGUCUGGGGUGGAAAGCUUUUGCGGUGUGGGAUGGGCCCGCGGCCUAUCAGCUUGUUGGUGGGGUGAUGGCCUACCAAGGCGACGACGGGUAGCCGGCCUGAGAGGGCGACCGGCCACACUGGGACUGAGACACGGCCCAGACUCCUACGGGAGGCAGCAGUGGGGAAUAUUGCACAAUGGGCGAAAGCCUGAUGCAGCGACGCCGCGUGAGGGAUGAAGGUCUUCGGAUUGUAAACCUCUUUCAGUAGGGACGAAGCGAAAGUGACGGUACCUAAAGAAGAAGCACCGGCUAACUACGUGCCAGCCGCCGCGGUAA
rnacentral:rRNA from 1 species